GAUGAACGCUGGCGGCGUGCCUAAUACAUGCAAGUCGAGCGAACAGACGAGGAGCUUGCUCCUCUUACGUUAGCGGCGGACGGGUGAGUAACACGUGGAUAACCUACCUAUAAGACUUGGAUAACUUCGGGAAACCGGAGCUAAUACCGGAUAAUAUAUUGAACCGCAUGGUUCAAUAGUGAAAGACGGUUUUGCUUUCACUUAUAGAUGGAUCCGCGCCGCAUUAGCUAGUUGGUAGGGUAACGGCUUACCAAGGCGACGAUGCGUAGCCGACCGGAGAGGAGGAUCGGCCACACUGGAAGUGAGAAAAGGUCCAGACUACUACGGGAGGCAGCAGUAGGGAAUCUUCCGCAAUGGGCGAAAGCAUGACGGAGCAACGACGCGUGAGUGAUGAAGGUCUUCGGAUCGUAAAAAUCUGUUAUUAGGGAAGAACAAAUGUGUAAGUAACUAUGCACGUCUUGACGGUACCUAAUCAGAAAGCCACGGCUAACUACGUG
rnacentral:rRNA from 1 species